AGAGUUUGAUCCUGGCUCAGAAUGAGCGCUGGCGGCAGGCCUAACACAUGCAAGUCGAGCGAAGUCUUCGGACUUAGCGGCGGACGGGUGAGUAACGCGUGGGAACGUACCUUUUGCUUCGGAAUAGCCUCGGGAAACUGGGAGUAAUACCGAAUGUGCCCUACGGGGGAAAGAUUUAUCGGCAAAAGAUCGGCCCGCGUUGGAUUAGGUAGUUGGUGGGGUAAUGGCCUACCAAGCCGACGAUCCAUAGCUGGUUUGAGAGGAUGAUCAGCCACACUGGGACUGAGACACGGCCCAGACUCCUACGGGAGGCAGCAGUGGGGAAUCUUAGACAAUGGGCGCAAGCCUGAUCUAGCCAUGCCGCGUGAUCGAUGAAGGCCUUAGGGUUGUAAAGAUCUUUCGUGGGGGAAGAUAAUGACGGUACCCCAAGAAGAAGCCCCGGCUAACUCCGUG
rnacentral:rRNA from 1 species